rnacentral:tRNA from 1 species
GGAGAGGUGCCGGAGCGGUCGAACGGGCGCGACUGGAAAUCGCGUGUCCUCUUUACGGGGGACCGUGGGUUCGAAUCCCACCCUCUCCGCCA